rnacentral:lncRNA from 1 species
GGAUUUCACCAUCUUGGUCAGGCUGGUCUUGAACUCCUGAUCUUGUGAUCCACCCACCUCGGCCUCCCAAAGUGCUGGAAUUACAGGCAUGAGCCACCACACCCAGACAAAUAUCACUACAUUUUAAACUCAAGAACCCAGCACACAAAACAACAGUGUGCAAGGAUCGAUCUGGCCUGAGCAGAUGGAACCAGGGAACCAGCAGCAGCAUGUCAGGGCAUCAGCUGUCAGGGAGCUGAGGGCCGCUCUGCAGAGGGAGGCAUCUCCCAAGGCCAGGGAGGCGGAUGCAGACUUCAUAUAUGUAAUUCUAUAUGCCAAGAUUCUAUCCUAAAAACUAAAUUUCAUAUAAAGAUCUAAAUAAAAAUUAUUAAAAGGAAAAUUUAAAAAAAACUAUAAUUAUGUCAGCCAAGAACAUAAGAGAAUUUUAAACACAAUUUUGAACAGAGAAUGCCUUUUUAUUUUUUACUUUUUUUUUUUUUGGAGACGGAGUCUCGCUCUGUCGCUCAAGCUCAAGUGCAGUGGCAUGAUCUUGGCUCAUUGCAACCUCUGCCUCCCAGGUUCAAGCGAUUCCCCCGCCUCAGCCUCCCGAGUAGCUGGGAUUAUGGGCAUCCGCCACCAUGCCUAAUUUUUUGUAUUUUUAGUAGAGACGGGGUUUCAUCACGUUGGCCGGGCUGGUCAAACUCCUGACCUCAGGUGAUCUGCCCGCCUCGGCCUCCCAGAGUGCUGGGAUUACAGGUGUCAGCCAUGGCGCCCAGCCGGGAAUCCCCGUUUUUUUUUGACAUGGAGUCUCACUCAGCUGCCGAGGCUGGAGUGCAGUGGUGAGAUCUUGGCUCACUGCGACCAUCAUCUCCCAGGUCCAAGCGAUUCUCCCGUCUCAGCCUCCCGUGUAGCUGGGAUUACAGGCACCGGCCACCAUGCCUGGCUAAUUGUUGUAUUUUUAGUAGAGACGGGGUUUCACCAUGUUGGCUAGGCUAGUCUUG